rnacentral:rRNA from 1 species
GGUUAAGCGACUAAGCGUACACGGUGGAUGCCCUGGCAGUCAGAGGCGAUGAAGGGCGUGCUAAUCUGCGAUAAGCGCCGGUAAGGUGAUAUGAACCGUUAUAACCGGCGAUACCCGAAUGGGGAAACCCAGUGUGAYUCGUCACACUAUCAUUAACUGAAUCCAUAGGUUAAUGAGGCGAACCGGGGGAACUGAAACAUCUAAGUACCCCGAGGAAAAGAAAUCAACCGAGAUUCCCCCAGUAGCGGCGAGCGAACGGGGAGGAGGGGCGUUAAGUUGCAGGGUAUAGACCCGAAACCCGGUGAUCUAGCCAUGGGCAGGUUGAAGGUUGGGUAACACUAACUGGAGGACCGAACCGACUAAUGUUGAAAAAUUAGCGGAUGACCUGUGGCUGGGGGUGAAAGGCCAAUCAAACCGGGAGAUAGCUGGUUCUCCCCGAAAGCUAUUUAGGUAGCGCCUCGUGAAUUCAUCUCCGGGGGUAGAGCACUGUUUCGGCUAGGGGGCCAUCCCGGCUUACCAACCCGAUGCAAACUGCGAAUACCGGAGAAUGUUAUCACGGGAGACACACGGCGGGUGCUAACGUCCGUCGUGAAGAGGGAAACAACCCAGACCGCCAGCUAAGGUCCCAAAGUCAUGGUUAAGUGGGAAACGAUGUGGGAAGGCCCAGACAGCCAGGAUGUUGGCUUAGAAGCAGCCAUCAUUUAAAGAAAGCGUAAUAGCUCACUGGUCGAGUCGGCCUGCGCGGAAGAUGUAACGGGGCUAAACCAUGCACCGAAGCUGCGGCAGCGAACGUAUCACUUAAAGCGAUUCAGCGGGUUACGAUUGACGGAGCGAAGCGACGUCAAAGCGUAUACAAAGUCGAGUCGGUUUAAGGAUACGUUCGUUGGGUAGGGGAGCGUUCUGUAAGCCUGUGAAGGUGGCYYGUGAGGSWUGCUGGAGGUAUCAGAAGUGCGAAUGCUGACAUAAGUAACGAUAAAGCGGGUGAAAAGCCCGCUCGCCGGAAGACCAAGGGUUCCUGUCCAACGUUAAUCGGGGCAGGGUGAGUCGACCCCUAAGGCGAGGCCGAAAGGCGUAGUCGAUGGGAAACGGGUUAAUAUUCCCGUACUUGGUGUUACUGCGAAGGGGGGACGGAGAAGGCUAUGUUGGCCGGGCGACGGUUGUCCCGGUUUAAGCGUGUAGGUGUGUGUUCCAGGUAAAUCCGGUUCACUUUAACACUGAGGCGUGAYGACGAGGCACUACGGUGCUGAAGCAACAAAUGCCCUGCUUCCAGGAAAAGCCUCUAAGCAUCAGGUAACAUCAAAUCGUACCCCAAACCGACACAGGUGGUCAGGUAGAGAAUACCAAGGCGCUUGAGAGAACUCGGGUGAAGGAACUAGGCAAAAUGGUGCCGUAACUUCGGGAGAAGGCACGCUGACAYGUAGGUGAAGUGAUUUACUCAYGGAGCUGAAGUCAGUCGAAGAUACCAGCUGGCUGCAACUGUUUAUUAAAAACACAGCACUGUGCAAACACGAAAGUGGACGUAUACGGUGUGACGCCUGCCCGGUGCCGGAAGGUUAAUUGAUGGGGUCAGCGCAAGCGAAGCUCCUGAUCGAAGCCCCGGUAAACGGCGGCCGUAACUAUAACGGUCCUAAGGUAGCGAAAUUCCUUGUCGGGUAAGUUCCGACCUGCACGAAUGGCGUAAUGAUGGCCAGGCUGUCUCCACCCGAGACUCAGUGAAAUUGAACUCGCUGUGAAGAUGCAGUGUACCCGCGGCAAGACGGAAAGACCCCGUGAACCUUUACUAUAGCUUGACACUGAACAUUGAGCCUUGAUGUGUAGGAUAGGUGGGAGGCUUUGAAGYGUGGACGCCAGUCUGCRUGGAGCCGACCUUGAAAUACCACCCUUUAAUGUUUGAUGUUCUAACGUGGACCCGUAAUCCGGGUUGCGGACAGUGUCUGGUGGGUAGUUUGACUGGGGCGGUCUCCUCCUAAAGAGUAACGGAGGAGCACGAAGGUUGGCUAAUCCUGGUCGGACAUCAGGAGGUUAGUGCAAUGGCAUAAGCCAGCUUGACUGCGAGCGUGACGGCGCGAGCAGGUGCGAAAGCAGGUCAUAGUGAUCCGGUGGUUCUGAAUGGAAGGGCCAUCGCUCAACGGAUAAAAGGUACUCCGGGGAUAACAGGCUGAUACCGCCCAAGAGUUCAUAUCGACGGCGGUGUUUGGCACCUCGAUGUCGGCUCAUCACAUCCUGGGGCUGAAGUAGGUCCCAAGGGUAUGGCUGUUCGCCAUUUAAAGUGGUACGCGAGCUGGGUUUAGAACGUCGUGAGACAGUUCGGUCCCUAUCUGCCGUGGGCGCUGGAGAACUGAGGGGGGCUGCUCCUAGUACGAGAGGACCGGAGUGGACGCAUCACUGGUGUUCGGGUUGUCAUGCCAAUGGCACUGCCCGGUAGCUAAAUGCGGAAGAGAUAAGUGCUGAAAGCAUCUAAGCACGAAACUUGCCCCGAGAUGAGUUCUCCCUGAGACUUAGAGUCUCCUGAAGGAACGUUGAAGACGACGACGUUGAUAGGCCGGGUGUGUAAGCGCAGCGAUGCGUUGAGCUAACCGGUACUAAUGAACCGUGAGGCUUAACCUU